rnacentral:misc_RNA from 1 species
AAGUCGUAACAAGGUUUCCGUAGGUGAACCUGCGGAAGGAUCAUUAACACGUUCCAAACGUUAUACCAAACCACAGAAUAUUCGUUCUCCCCAGCAUAAAGAGUUUAGUUGUCCCAAGAGGUUCAUGGUGGGAAUCUUCGGAUUCGACCUUGAGGGAAUAGGGGUUCGACCACGAGACUAUAAGUUUUAUGCUGGGCUUUAAUAUAUUUCAUAUCAACCUUCAUCACCUGAAGGCGGGUAUGGAAUAGCCAUAACCAUUUUCACCUUACUAAUAACAUUUGACUAAUACUACGUUGAUCCUUCGGGAUUAACAACUAAGUUUAUCUUAAACUAGAGUACAACUCUUAGCAAUGGAUAUCUUGGUUCUC